rnacentral:rRNA from 1 species
UACCAGCCCCCUGAGUGGUAAGGACGAUUAUUUGGCUUAAAGCGUCCGUAGCCGGCUUAGUGAGUCUCUUGUUAAACCCAAUGAUUCAAUCAUUGAACUGCAAGAGAUACUACUAUGCUAGAGGACGGGAGAGGUCGACGGUAGUCCAAGGGUAGGGGUGAAAUCCUAUAAUCCUUGGAGGACCACCAGUGGCGAAGGCGGUCGACUAGAACGUGCCUGACGGUGAGGGACGAAAGCUGGGGGAGCGAACCGGAUUAGAUACCCGGGUAGUCCCAGCUGUAAACGAUGCGGGCUAGGUGUAGGGGCAGCUACGAGCUGCUCCUGUGCCGCAGAGAAAUUGUUAAGCCCGCGCCUAGGGAGUACGAUCGCAAGAUUGAAACUUAAAGCAAGUUGGCGGGGAGCACCACAAGGGGUGAAGGCUGGCGGUUU